rnacentral:rRNA from 1 species
UACCACGCGAGUGGAUGCCAAUCCCAAAACCUCUCUCAGUUCGGACUGGAGUCUGCAACCCGACUCCACGAAGCUGGAUUCGCUAGUAAUCGCGCAUCAGCCACGGCGCGGUGAAUACGUUCCCGGGCCUUGUACACACCGCCCGUCAAGCCAUGGGAGCCGGGGGUACCUGAAGUGCGUAACCGCGAGGAGCGCCCUAGGGUAAAACUGGUGACUGGGGCUAAGUCGUAACAAGGUACC